rnacentral:lncRNA from 1 species
AUGAAUCAUAGAAUUACUAAAGCAAUAUCAUAUACAAUGACUCCACCAACAAUAAAAAGGAAAGAAAUACUAACCGUGAACACAGGAAGGGGAAAGAGGGGACUACCAGAACUUACACAGGAAGGGGAGAGAGGGGACUACCAGAACUUACACAGGAAGGGGAGAGAGGGGACUACCAGAACUUACACAGGAAGGGGAGAGAGGGGACUACCAGAACUUACACAGGAAGGGAAGAGAGGGGACUACCAGAACUUACACAGGAAGGGAAGGGAAGAGAGGAGACUACCAGAACUUACACAGGAAGUGAAGAGAAGAGAGGGGACUACCAGAACUUACACAGGAAGGGAAGUGAAGAGAGGGACUACCAGAACUUACACAGGAAGGGGAGAGAGGGGACUACCAGAACUUACACAGGAAGGGAAGAGAGGGGACUACCAGAACUUACACAGGAAGAGAAGAGACGGGACUACCAGAACUUACACAGGAAGGGAAGGGAGGAGAGGGGACUACCAGAACUUACACAGGAAGAGAAGAGAGGGGACUACCAGAACUUACACAGGAAGUGAAGAGAAGAGAGGGGACUACCAGAACUUACACAGGAAGGGAAGAGAGGGGACUACCAGAACUUACACAGGAAGAGAAGAGACGGGACUACCAGAACUUACACAGGAAGGGAAGGGAGGAGAGGGGACUACCAGAACUUACACAGGAAGAGAAGAGAGGGGACUACCAGAACUUACACAGGAAGUGAAGAGAGGGGACUACCAGAACUUACACAGGAAGGGAAGAGAGGGGACUACCAGAACUUACACAGGAAGGGAAGAGAGGGGACUACCAGAACUUACACAGGAAGAGAAGAGAGGGGACUACCAGAACUUACACAGGAAGGGAAGAGAGGGGACUACCAGAACUUACACAGGAAGGGGAGAGAGGGGACUACCAGAACUUACACAGGAAGAGAAGAGAAGAGAGGGGACUACCAGAACUUACACAGGAAGGGAAGAGAGGGGACUACCAGAACUUACACAGGAAGAGAAGAGAAGAGAGGGGACUACCAGAACUUACACAGGAAGGGGAGAGAGGGGACUACCAGAACUUACACAGGAAGGGAAGAGAGGGGACUACCAGAACUUACACAGGAAGGGAAGGAAAGAGAGGGGACUACCAGAACUUACACAGGAAGGGAAGAGAGGGGACUACCAGAACUUACACAGGAAGGGAAGAGAGGGGACUACCAGAACUUACACAGGAAGGGAAGAGAGGGGACUACCAGAACUUACACAGGAAGAGAAGAGAGGGGACUACCAGAAAUUACACAGGAAGGGAAGAGAGGGGACUACCAGAACUUACACAGGAAGAGAAGAGAGGGGACUACCAGAACUUACACAGGAAGAGAAGAGAGGGGACUACCAGAACUUACACAGGAAGGGAAGAGAGGGGACUACCAGAACUUACACAGGAAGGGAAGAGAGGGGACUACCAGAACUUACACAGGAAGAGAAGAGAGGGGACUACCAGAACUUACACAGGAAGAGAAGAGAGGGGACUACCAGAACUUACACAGGAAGGGAAGAGAGGGGACUACCAGAACUUACACAGGAAGGGAAGAGAGGGGACUACCAGAACUUACACAGGAAAGGAAGGGAGGGGACUACCAGAACUUACACAGGAAGGGAAGAGAGGGGACUACCAGAACUUGCACAGGAAGAGAAGAGAGGGGACUACCAGAACUUAUACAGGAAGGGAAGAGAGGGGACUACCAGAACUUACACAGGAAGUGAAGAGAAGAGAGGGGACUACCAGAACUUACACAGGAAGGGAAGAGAGGGGACUACCAGAACUUACACAGGAAGAGAAGAGACGGGACUACCAGAACUUACACAGGAAGGGAAGGGAGGAGAGGGGACUACCAGAACUUACACAGGAAGAGAAGAGAGGGGACUACCAGAACUUACACAGGAAGUGAAGAGAAGAGAGGGGACUAAUACUUUAGGAUGGCAUAAUAGAAGCGGUGACUUCAGGAAUAGAAACCAACCUCACCAUGGUCCAUUCCACGGGGUCAAUCUGAGCCAAGCUCUACUGUGUUCUCCUGGUUCCACAUCCAGCAUAGUUGCUAAACGGGCAAUGUGA